rnacentral:antisense_RNA from 1 species
AGCUGACGAAGGCGCCGUCGCCGUUGCCCAGAGGGAAGGCGGGCUGCAGAGCCACGGGCCGGGCGUCCGAGCGGCAGAACUUGGGUGCCAAGCUGAGCACGUCGCCGCCGACCCCGCCGCCGCUGCUGCUGCACGACACGUACUCCAGAUCUGGGGACCCUUCACCUGCCUCUACUACUGCAAAUGAUUGGAUAUUCGUCUGCCUUGGCUCUUCCCUAAUGUGUGGAACUAAUUUUGUUCACUCUGUUUCAUGCUGGACCUGGCCUGAAAAUGGGCCCUUACAUUGUCUUUGCACUUUCCAACUUGCCAAGUUUCUGAAAGAAGGACCAAAGUAAUGCCAAGAACUCCCAGAUGAAGAGGACCUUCCUUAGACCUAUAACAGAUUCACUACUUGACUUCAGAGGGACGUUUCAGCUAAUUCUCAGGAAAAGGUCAAAACAGGCCUGUGACUGUCCCUCGAAUACUGAAGGUAUAAACAAGCUUCUGGCUCCUCCAGGUCAAGCAGAGGAACACUUUUAUUAGAAUGAAGGGUUACUUCUUUGUUAUUC